rnacentral:rRNA from 1 species
CCCGGUGACAUCAGCGAGGGGGAAACACCCGUUCCCAUUCCGAACACGGCAGUUAAGCCCCUCAGCGCCGAUGGUACUGCACGCGAAAGUGUGUGGGAGAGUAGGUCGUUGCCGGGA